ensembl:lncRNA
AUUUCCCUUCCCCUCCAAGAGCCCUUUCUGACCCCUGACUCCUUUCUUUAGCAGCCCUCAAAUGGUUUUCGUGGGUGGAACAUCUCCCUGCGUUUCAGAGGACAUCAGCGCACGUGGUUUCUUUCCUGGCCGCCGCGGCCCACUUGGUCAGUUUCCUCCUAGUUUUGGCCUGGGGCCCUCCCGCCGGGGCUCUGCCGGGUCUGCGGGUCGGGGCGGUCUUUUCACCCCGGAGGAGAGAAAGCAGAGAUUGGAAGCUCGCGCGCUCGGGCGGGGCCUGUCCACCGAGCCCGGCGAGGCUCGGAGGGCCUCGGAGGUGGACGCGCCCCGGCUAUUCCUCCGCGGCUGGGGCUGCUCCGGACGUCCCGCGUCUGGGGCCCGGGAUUCAGCCUGCAAGGUUUGAAAACAUUUAGGAUCAUAUGAAAUUUUGGAUUACUUUGCUCUCCAGUAUCUGUCCUGAAGAGAUAAAUGUGACAGACGGCUGUUUAUUCUAUGAAAUGAAAAUGACAUCCCCGGCUGGGCGUGGUGACUCAAGUCUGUAAUCCCAGCACUUUGGGAGGCUGAGACGGGCGGAUCACGAGGUCAGGAGAUCAAGACCAUCCUGGCUAACACGGUGAAACCCCGUCUCUACUAAAAAAUACAAAAAACUAGCCGGGUGAGGUGGCGGGCGCCUGUAAUCCCAGCUACUCAGGAGGCUGAGGGAGGAGAAUAGUGUAAACUCGGGAGGCGGAGCUUGCAGUGAGCUGAGAUCCGGCCACUGCACUCCAGCCUGGGCAACAGAGUGAGACUCCAUCUCAAAAAAAAAAAAAAAAAAAGAAAAAAAAAAAAAAAAAUGACAUCCCCUGCCCAGGAGCAGUGGUGUAAUGAUUUAUAAGAUAGCGUAUUUAAAAUCAUUCAAGAUUUGGUGAUAAGCUAUUAGAUACAACACCAAAGGUACAAGGCGUGAGAGAAAAAACUGGUAACUUGGAUUUCAUUAACAUAAAAAAAUUCUGCUUUGUGAAAGACACUAUGGAGAUAGUCAAAAGACAACCCAUAGAAUGGGAGAAAAUAUUUGCAAAACACAUGUCUGAGAAAGGACUUAUAUCCAAUAUAUACAAAAGACACAUCAACACAGCAAUAAGAAAACCAACAAUCCAGUUAAAAAGUGAGCAAAAGGUACAAUCAGACACCUCACCAAAUAAGAUAUACAGAAGGGAAAUGAUCAUGUGAAAAGUUGACCAACAUAAUUUGUCAUUAGGGAAUUGCAAGUUUAAACAACCACAAGAUAUCACUACACACCUUUUAGAAUGGCCAAAAUCCAACACUGACAAUACUGAAUGCUGAUGAGGAUGUGGAGUAAUAGGAAAUUUCAUUCAUUGCUUGUGGGAAUGCAAAAUCGUAUAGCCACUUGAGAAAACAGUGUGGCAGUUUCUUACAAAACUAAAUCUAAUCUUACUCUAUGAUCUAGCAAUAUACUCCUAGGUAUUUAUCCAACUGAUUUGAAAAUGAAUGUUCAAGCAAAAACUUGCACACUAUUGUUUAUAGCAGUUUAUUUUAAUAAUUGCCAAAAACUGAAACAAAAAACAAAAACCAAAAUGUUCUUCAAUAAGUGAAUUGGUGGACAAACAGUGGUACAUAUACACAAUGGAAUACUAUUUCAUGAUUCAAAAAAUAAGGUGCUAUCAAGCUGUGAGAGGCUAUGAAUGAAUCUUAAAUGUGUAUUGCUAAAUGAAGAAAGAGUCUGAAAAGGCUGCAUAGUGUACAAUUCCAAGUCUGUGCCAUUCUAGAAAAGGCAAAACUGUAAUGGGAGUAAAAAGAUAAGCAGUUGUCAGGGGAUUAGGGGGAGUGUUGAACAGAUGAGGUACAGGGAAUUUUUUAGAGUGGUGAAACCAUUAUGCAUGAUACUGCAAUUGUGGAUACAUGACAACAGGCAUUUAUGAAAACUUACAGAACUUCACAGCACACAGUGAACUUUUUGUAUUUAAAUGAAUUUAAAAAACUAUUUAGGAUGUCAAGAGAACCCAGGACCAGAUACAUAAGGUGACAAAGCAAUCUAAUUGUAUCACAAAUGUAUAAAACAACCAGAUGCAUAAGGUGACAAAGCAAUCUAAUUGUAUCACAAAUGUAUAAAACAACCACAGUGAUGGGGUGGAUGAAAUUGUUGUGGACCUAAGUAAUUUUGGAAAUAAAUGGAGUCUAUAAGAUUAAAGGCA